rnacentral:rRNA from 1 species
AUUGAACUCUGGCGGCAGGCCUAACACAUGCAAGUCGAGCGGCAGCGGGAAAGUAGCUUGCUACUUUUGCCGGCGAGCGGCGGACGGGUGAGUAAUGCCUGGGAAAUUGCCCAGUCGAGGGGGAUAACAGUUGGAAACGACUGCUAAUACCGCAUACGCCCUACGGGGGAAAGCAGGGGACCUUCGGGCCUUGCGCGAUUGGAUAUGCCCAGGCGGGAUUAGCUAGUUGGUGAGGUAAUGGCUCACCAAGGCGACGAUCCCUAGCUGGUCUGAGAGGAUGAUCAGCCACACUGGAACUGAGACACGGUCCAGACUCCUACGGGAGGCAGCAGUGGGGAAUAUUGCACAAUGGGGGAAACCCUGAUGCAGCCAUGCCGCGUGUGUGAAGAAGGCCUUCGGGUUGUAAAGCACUUUCAGCGAGGAGGAAAGGUUGAUGCCUAAUACGUAUCAACUGUGACGUUACUCGCAGAAGAAGCACCGGCUAACUCCGUGCCAGCAGCCGCCGUAAGAC